GCAGUCGAACGAGUCCUGAUUAUUGAAAGGUGCUUGCAUCUUGAUUUAAUUUUGAACGAGUGGCGGACGGGUGAGUAACACGUGGGUAACCUGCCCUUAAGUGGGGGAUAACAUUUGGAAACAGAUGCUAAUACCGCAUAAAUCCAAGAACCGCAUGGUUCUUGGCUGAAAGAUGGCGUAAGCUAUCGCUUUUGGAUGGACCCGCGGCGUAUUAGCUAGUUGGUGAGGUAACGGCUCACCAAGGCAAUGAUACGUAGCCGAACUGAGAGGUUGAUCGGCCACAUUGGGACUGAGACACGGCCCAAACUCCUACGGGAGGCAGCAGUAGGGAAUCUUCCACAAUGGACGCAAGUCUGAUGGAGCAACGCCGCGUGAGUGAAGAAGGCUUUCGGGUCGUAAAACUCUGUUGUUGGAGAAGAAUGGUCGGCAGAGUAACUGUUGUCGGCGUGACGGUAUCCAACCAGAAAGCCACGGCUAACUACGUGCCAGCAGCCGCGGUAAUACGUAGGUGGCAAGCGUUAUCCGGAUUUAUUGGGCGUAAAGCGAGCGCAGGCGGUUUUUUAAGUCUGAUGUGAAAGCCCUCGGCUUAACCGAGGAAGUGCAUCGGAAACUGGGAAACUUGAGUGCAGAAGAGGACAGUGGAACUCCAUGUGUAGCGGUGAAAUGCGUAGAUAUAUGGAAGAACACCAGUGGCGAAGGCGGCUGUCUGGUCUGUAACUGACGCUGAGGCUCGAAA
rnacentral:rRNA from 2 species